ACAGUGGCCUGCUCUUCCCCA
rnacentral:misc_RNA from 1 species